CUCCGUUAGAGUACUCCUGUCUGUGUCUCUUUCUCUCUGUCACUUAGAGUACUCCCAUCUGUGUGUGUGUGUCUCUCUCUCUGUUACUGAGAGUACUCCUGUCUGCAUCUCUCUGUUACUGAGAGUACUCCUGUCUGGGUCUCUCUCUCUGCUAUUGAGAGUACUCCUGUCUGCAUCUCUCUCUGUUACUUAGAGUGCUCCUGUCUGCGUCGCUCUCUCUCCGUUACUUAUAGUACUCCUGUCUGUGUAUCUCUCUCUCUGUUACUUAGAGUACUCCCGUCUGCAUCUCUCUGUCAGAGUACUCCUGUCUGCGUCUCUCUCUCCGUUACUUAUAGUACUCCUGUCUGCAUCUCUCUCUCUCUGUUACUUAGAUUACUCCCGUCUGCAUCUCUCUCUCUGUCAGAGUACUCCUGUCUGUGUCUCUCUCUGUUACUGAGAGUACGCCUGUCUGUCUCUCUCUCUCUGUCAGAGUACUCCUGUCUGCGUCUCUCUCUCUCUCUCUGUUAGAGUACUCCUGUCUGCAUCUCUCUGUCAGAGUACUCCUGUCUGCGUCUCUCUCUCCGUUACUUAUAGUACUCCUGUCUGCGUCUCUCUCUCUCUGUUACUUAGAGUACUCCCGUCUGCAUCUCUGUCAGAGUACUCCUGUCUGCGUCUCUCUC